rnacentral:rRNA from 1 species
GUGUCAGCAGCCGCGGUAAUACAGAGGUCCCAAGCGUUGUUCGGAUUCACUGGGCGUAAAGGGUGCGUAGGUGGUGAUGCAAGUUUGAUGUGAAAUCUCCGGGCUUAACCCGGAAAAUGCAUUGAAUACUGCGUUGCUGGAGGUUUGGAGGGGGGACUGGAAUUCUCGGUGUAGCAGUGAAAUGCGUAGAUAUCGAGAGGAACACCAGUGGCGAAGGCGGGUCCCUGGACAACACCUGACACUGAGGCACGAAAGCUAGGGGAGCAAACAGGAUUAGAUACCCUGGUAGUCC